rnacentral:rRNA from 1 species
CUUGGCGACCAUAGCGUUGUGGACCCACCUGAACCCAUGCCGAACUCAGAAGUGAAACGCAACAGCGCCGAUGGUAGUGUGGGGUCUCCCCAUGUGAGAGUAGGACAUCGCCAGGU